GGAUAAAUGAUGACUCCACAAAUAGAUCUUUUUGGAAUAUGAACAAAGUAAGUAACAAAAAUAACUUCUGUGAGCUGAGGACC
ensembl:snoRNA SNORD116 Small nucleolar RNA SNORD116